GAUGAACGCUGGCGGCGUGCCUAACACAUGCAAGUCGAGCGAACAAACGAGGAUUUGUCUCCUCUGACGUUAGCGGCGGGCGGGUGAGUAACACGAGGAUAACUUACCUAUAAGAAUGAUAUACGGUAGGGAAACCGUAUCCAACACCGGAUAUGAUGUUGAACCGCGGGGUUCAUUAGGAAAAAACGUUUUUGCUGUGACUAGUUCGUGGAUCUUCGCCGUUUUAGUUAGUUGGUAAGGAAACGGCCUACCAAGGCAACGACGCGUAGACGACCUGAGAGGGUGAUCGGCCACACUGGAACUGAGACACGGUCCAGACUCCUACGGGAGGCAGCAGUAGGGAAUCUUCGGCAAUGGGCGAAAGCCUGACGCAGCAACGCCGCGUGAGUGAUGAAGGUCUUCUGAUAGUAAAACUCUGUUAUUAGGGGAGAACAAAUGUGUGAGUAAAUAUGGCCGUAUUGACGGUACCUACAGAGAAAGCCCCGGCUAACUACGUG
rnacentral:rRNA from 1 species